rnacentral:rRNA from 1 species
CAUGCAGGCGGUUACAUAAGUCAGGUGUGAAAUCCCCGCGCUUAACGUGGGCAUUGCAUUUGAAACUAUGUAGCUAGAGUAUGUCAGAGGGGGGUAGAAUUCCACGUGUAGCAGUGAAAUGCGUAGAUAUGUGGAGGAAUACCGAUGGCGAAGGCAGCCCCCUGGGACAAUACUGACGCUCAUGCACGAAAGCGUGGGGAUCAAACAGGAUUAGAUACCCUUG